GCCUCGGUAGCUCAGCGGUUAGAGCUGUCCGCUCAUAACGGAUUGGUCGCAGGUUCAAAUCCUGCCCGAGGCACCA
rnacentral:tRNA from 2 species